AAUAACCCUAUCGCUGUACAAUAUCUUUAGGAUUUCUCCACUAGCUAUUAUCCUGUAACCUCUCGAAUCUAAUUUGCUCAGUGAGAUAAGAUUCCAUCUGAAAUCAGAUAUGUAUUGGACCUCCCCCAAUCUCCUCACUACAUGACUAGCUGAUCAUCCCGAUGCUUUUGAUCGCACAGCUCAAUCCAUUCGACAGAUAG
rnacentral:lncRNA from 1 species